rnacentral:rRNA from 1 species
AGAACGAACGCUGGCGGCAUGCCUAAUACAUGCAAGUCGAACGAAUGCCCUUCGGGGUGUUAGUGGCGCACGGGUGCGUAACGCGUGGGAAUCUGCCCUGGGUUCGGAAUAACAGUUAGAAAUGACUGCUAAUACCGGAUGAUGACGUAAGUCCAAAGAUUUAUCGCCCAGGGAUGAGCCCGCGUAGGAUUAGCUAGGUUGGUGGGGUAAAGGCCUACCAAGGCGACGAUCCGUAACUGGCCUGAGAGGAUGAUCAGUCACACUGGAACUGAGACACGGUCCAGACCUCCUACGGGAGGCAGCAGUGGGGAAUAGUUGGACAAUGGGCGAAAGCCUGAUCAGCCAUGCCGCGUGUGUGAAGAGGUCUUCGGAUUGAAAGUCACUUUAAGGUUGGGAGGAAGGCUAAGUUACCUAAUAGUAU